GAGCUAGUGUGGUGUAGUGGUUUGAAUGCUGGACUGGGACUCAGGAGACUAGGGUUCAGAUCCCAGCUAGGCCA